CACAUCACCACUGAAACAUGAGUUCCCGUACGAUCACCGAAGUUAAGCAACAUCGAACCUGGUCAGUACCUAGAUGGGUGACCACUUGGGAAUACCAGGUACU